UACGGAGGGUGCAAGCGUUAAUCGGAAUUACUGGGCGUAAAGGGCGCGUAGGCGGCUUCGAUAGUUGGGCGUGAAAUGCCUGGGCUCAACCCAGGAAUUGCGCUCAAUACUGUGAGGCUCGAGUGUGGGAGAGGAUAGUGGAAUUCCCAGUGUAGAGGUGAAAUUCGUAGAUAUUGGGAAGAACACCAGCGGCGAAGGCGGAUAUCUGGACCACAACUGACGCUGAGGCGCGAAAGCGUGGGGAGCAAACAAG
rnacentral:rRNA from 1 species